rnacentral:tRNA from 1 species
GGGGGCAAUGGUGCUGGGCGCCCCACGGGCUUCAAACCCGUUGGCUCGGUCUGCAAAACCGGGAGGAGGUUCGAUUCCCCUUGCCCCCUCCA